GGUUCCAUAGUGUAGCGGUUAGCACGUCUGCCUUACAUGCAGAAGGUCCUGGGUUCGCAGCCCAGUGAAGCCA
rnacentral:tRNA from 1 species